GAUACUUUAGGUACUCCUCUUCCUCUCCCCUUAUCAGUUGAUGUUUUAGGAGUACCUUUAGGUGCUUUGGACGCUCCUGUUCCUCUCCCCUUACUAUAUUCUGUUUGAGUAGCAGCGGGAGUAGUCAUAGGUGCUGCCGGUGCUGAACUUCUGGGCUUCUUUGCAGCUACUUUUCCUCUCCCCCUACUAGUUCUUGUUGCACCCGCUCUUGGAGCAACUCUAGGUUCUCGAUUAGGUGUAUGUGGUGGAUUGGCAUUGCUCCCAUGUGUUGUUGUUGGCAAAGGCUUGCAUUGUAGAGAGUAAAAAAAGUGGUUAUUUGGUAACAUAAUUGAAUCAAGUACCGGCAACGUAAUUAAUUAAGGAAAAGAGAGCCCUUACCACAUGUUUUCUCACCCUGAGAGCAAGAU
rnacentral:lncRNA from 1 species